CCUACGGGAGGCAGCAGUGAGGAAUAUUGGUCAAUGGCCGUAAGGCUGAACCAGCCAAGUCGCGUGAAGGAAGAAGGAUCUAUGGUUUGUAAACUUCUUUUAUCGGGGAAUAAAGGUAUCCACGUGUGGAUAUUUGCAUGUACCCUAUGAAUAAGCAUCGGCUAACUCCGUGCCAGCAGCCGCGGUAAUACGGAGGAUGCGAGCGUUAUCCGGAUUUAUUGGGUUUAAAGGGUGCGUAGGUUGUUUUUUAAGUCAGCGGUGAAAGUUUGUGGCUCAACCAUAAAAUUGCCGUUGAAACUGGAAGACUUGAGUGUGUUUGAGGUAGGCGGAAUGCGUGGUGUAGCGGUGAAAUGCAUAGAUAUCACGCAGAACUCCGAUUGCGAAGGCAGCUUACUAAGCCAUAACUGACACUGAAGCACGAAAGCGUGGGGAGCAAACAGGAUUAGAUACCCGAGUAGUC
rnacentral:rRNA from 1 species